GAAGCUAGAGGCAUCAUCAAUACAGAAAAAGCAAAACUUCCUAAUCUCAGGAUAAGAAGAUAUCAAAAUGGAGAUUUUUGUUAAUUAGGGUCAUACAACGAAGAUAGCAAUAAAAUAGAUCACAUCGCAGACUCUGGAACUUACAAACAGAUGCAGCAGUGACAAGUAUGAAGAGCAUUUACAGAUAAAUAAAGUACCUAUUUUUCUUGAA
rnacentral:lncRNA from 1 species